rnacentral:rRNA from 1 species
ACUAGGUGAACAAACCUGAUCUGACUAAAGGACAAAAAGACCCCGUAGAGCUUUAGUAAAGAUAAAAACUACUUCUGUUUAACACAUUACAUAUAUAAAAUGCCUUUAUCACACUUUAACUGGGGCGGUUAAGGAAGAUAAAAAUCUUCCUCAGAUAAAAUAGGCCCUCAUGCCACAAAAACCUGAUCCUUUUAUUAAGAUCAAUAAAUAAGCUACCUCGGGGAUAACAGAUUAAUCUUUCUUAAGAGUCCUCAUUGACAGAAAGGUUUGACACCUCGAUGUUGGCUUAGGGUACCCAAAAGGUCAGCAGCAGCCUUUAAAGGUAGGUUUGUUCAACCUUUAAAACCCU